CGGUACAUCGGUGACAGGUGGUGGCAUGGUUGUCGUCAGCUCGUGUCGUGAGAUGUUGGGUUAAGUCCCGCAACGAGCGCAACCCCUAUUGUUAGUUGCCAUCAUUCAGUUGGGCACUCUAGCGAGACUGCCGGUAAUAAACCGGAGGAAGGUGGGGAUGACGUCAAAUCAUCAUGCCCCUUAUGACCUGGGCUACACACGUGCUACAAUGGUUGGUACAACGAGUUGCGAGUCGGUGACGGCGAGCUAAUCUCUUAAAGCCAAUCUCAGUUCGGAUUGUAGGCUGCAACUCGCCUACAUGAAGUCGGAAUCGCUAGUAAUCGCGGAUCAGCACGCCGCGGUGAAUACGUUCCCGGGCCUU
rnacentral:rRNA from 1 species